UUAGCUCAGCUGGGAGAGCACUUGCCUUACAAGCACGGCGGUAACACGGGUUCGAAUCCCGUA
rnacentral:tRNA from 1 species